rnacentral:rRNA from 1 species
CCUACGGGUGGCAGCAGUGAGGAAUAUUGGUCAAUGGGAGAGAUCCUGAACCAGCCAAGCCGCGUGAGGGAAGACGGCCCUAUGGGUUGUAAACCUCUUUUGUCGGAGAACAAAACCCGGGACGUGUCCCGGACUGCGUGUAUCCGAAGAAAAAGCAUCGGCUAACUCCGCGCCAGCAGCCGCGGUAAUACGGAGGAUGCGAGCGUUAUCCGGAUUUAUUGGGUUUAAGGGGUGCGUAGGCGGGCCGUUAAGUCAGCGGGAAAAUUGCGGGGCUCAACCCCGUCGAGCCGUUGAAACUGGCAGACUUGAGUUGGCGAGAAGUACGCGGAAUGCGCGGUGUAGCGGUGAAAUGCAUAGAUAUCGCGCAGAACUCCGAUUGCGAAGGCAGCGUACCGGCGCCAGACUGACGCUGAGGCACGAAAGCGUGGGGAUCGAACAGGAUUAGAUACCCUGGUAGUC